GUGUUGGCUUGGGCAGCACACUUGCUAAAAUUGGAACAAUUACAAGAUGAUUAGCAUGGCCCCUGUGCAAGGGUGGCAUGCGAAUUUGUGAAGUGUUCCACAUUUUU